rnacentral:sRNA from 1 species
UCCUAGCCCCGAUAGUAGUGGAAAUCCUUUUGCUUUUUUCUUUAAAAAGCAAAAGAUUGAAACGGAUAGCGGGAAAUAGC